GACGAACGCUGGCGGCGUGCUUAACACAUGCAAGUCGUACGGUAAGGCCCUUUCUGGGGUACACGAGUGGCGAACGGGUGAGUAACACGUGCGUAACCUUCCCACACCUUUGGGCUAACGCUAGGAAACUGGUGCUAAUACUGGAUAUGUGCUCCUGCUGCAUGGUGGGGGUUGGAAAGCUCCGGCGGUUGUGGAUGGACUCGCGGCCUAUCAGCUUGUUGGUGGGGUAGUGGCCUACCAAGGCGGCGACGGGUAGCCGGCCUGAGAGGGUGACCGGCCACAUUGGGACUGAGAUACGGCCAAGACUCCUACGGGGGGCAGAAGGGGGGAAUAUUGCACAAUGGGCGCAAGCCUGAUGCAGCAACGCCGCGUGCGGGAUGACGGCCUUCGGGUUGUAAACCGCUUUCAGCAGGGACGAAGCUUUUUGUGACGGUACCUGCAGAAGAAGCACCGGCUAACUACGUG
rnacentral:rRNA from 1 species